rnacentral:rRNA from 1 species
AUUGAACGCUGGCGGCAUGCUUUACACAUGCAAGUCGAACGGUAACAGGCCGCAAGGUGCUGACGAGUGGCGAACGGGUGAGUAAUGCAUCGGAACGUGCCCAGUCGUGGGGGAUAACGCAGCGAAAGCUGCGCUAAUACCGCAUACGAUCUCUGGAUGAAAGCGGGGGACCGAAAGGCCUCGCGCGAUUGGAGCGGCCGAUGUCAGAUUAGGUAGUUGGUGGGGGAAAGGCCCACCAAGCCAACGAUCUGUAGCUGGUCUGGGAGGACGACCAGCCACACUGGGACUGAGACACGGCCCAGACUCCUACGGGAGGCAGCAGUGGGGAAUUUUGGACAAUGGGCGCAAGCCUGAUCCAGCAAUGCCGCGUGCAGGAAGAAGGCCUUCGGGUUGUAAACUGCUUUUGUACGGAACGAAACGGUUCGGGUUAAUACCCUGGGCUAAUGACGGUACCGUAAGAAUAAGCACCGGCUAACUACGUGCCAGCCGCCGCAGUAACAC